rnacentral:rRNA from 1 species
UACGAAGGGGGCUAGCGUUGCUCGGAAUCACUGGGCGUAAAGGGUGCGUAGGCUGGUCUUUAAGUCAGGGGUGAAAUCCUGGAGCUCAACUCCAGAACUGCCUUUGAUACUGAGGAUCUUGAGUUCGGGAGAGGUGAGUGGAACUGCGAGUGUAGAGGUGAAAUUCGUAGAUAUUCGCAAGAACACCAGUGGCGAAGGCGGCUCACUGGCCCGAUACUGACGCUGAGGCACGAAAGCGUGGGGAGCAAACAGG